GGUGGACUCUUCAAGAACUGGGACAAUAAAAGGACUACAUUUUACCCCCCAAKGGGAGGGAGAUGCGCGUUAAGAGAGAAGCUUCUUUUCCUUCUUCUCAACUCCUUUCCAAGAAAAUCAUCACCUGCACCGAGGCAGAGAUGACGAAACGUAACUCGACUGGUGGUGUGCAGCAACACAGCCGUGUUCUAUAGGUGUCAUGGCCAGAAACUCCUCCAAGCAGUGACUUACAGUGAGGUGAGGUGAUCUGAGCAGCUCAGGAAUGUUGGAAUUUAUUGGUCCA